rnacentral:rRNA from 1 species
AUUGAACGCUGGCGGCAUGCUUUACACAUGCAAGUCGAACGGCGGCGCGGGCUUCGGCCUGGCGGCGAGUGGCGAACGGGUGAGUAAUGCAUCGGAACGUGCCCAGUAGUGGGGGAUAGCCCGGCGAAAGCCGGAUUAAUACCGCAUACGACCUGAGGGUGAAAGCGGGGGACCGAAAGGCCUCGCGCUAUUGGAGCGGCCGAUGUCGGAUUAGCUAGUUGGUGGGGUAAAGGCUUACCAAGGCGACGAUCCGUAGCUGGUCUGAGAGGACGACCAGCCACACUGGAACUGAGACACGGCCCAGACUCCUACGGGAGGCAGCAGUGGGGAAUUUUGGACAAUGGGGGCAACCCUGAUCCAGCCAUGCCGCGUGCGGGAAGAAGGCCUUCGGGUUGUAAACCGCUUUUGUUCGGGAAGAAAUCCUCUGGGCUAAUACCCCGGGGGGAUGACGGUACCGGAAGAAUAAGCACCGGCUAACUACGUG